UGGUGAACCAGCGGAGGGAUCAUUACAGAGUUGCAAGACUCCCCAAACCAUCGCGAACGUUACCCAAACCGUUGCUUCGGCGGGCGGCGCGCCUGCGCGCCCCUGGGCCCCACCGCGGGCGCCCGCCGGAGGUCCACCGAACUGCUGAUAAUUUAUGGCCUCUCUGAGUAUUCUUUACUGAAUAAGUCAAAACUUUCAACAACGGAUCUCUUGGUUCUGG
rnacentral:misc_RNA from 1 species